CGGCGGCGCGCGGAGAGGAGCGUCGGGCGGCCGCGCGCGCAGUGGCGGCAUCUGAGGUGACCGCCUCGUCCCCCGGAUUCUCUGAUGAGAGGUGUGCGGUGUGGACCCGCCCCUGGCACCUGGGCGUGAGUCCCGGGUUGUGACGGCGUGUGUGUACAAUCCUGACUGCAGUCGCAGUGUGGACUCUCCCCGCCGUCGAACAAUGACCCCACUGGCUUGAGCUACGAUCCACCCUAAUUCUGACCCUAUCUCGCUGGCGACGGCUCAGCCCCCAGGACGGCGCUCACCCCCCCCCCCACCGGACCCCAGUUCCAGGUCUGUAGGUCAGAGUUUCUGGGGACCCUCCUCCGAGGGCUUAAUAUGCCAAGGGCGGAUCACAGACCUGGGAGAGGCGUCUUACUUACCAGUCACCAGCGUUACAAAAGGACGUAACCCAGAAAUGGCCCUGGAAGAGGUGCACGGGGUGAAGCUUCCACUCUUCCAGUGCCUCCACGCGUUCACCGACCCGGAAGCGCUCUGAACCGCGUCCUUUUUCGGAAGAGGCUACACCGCAAAGGCACUCUGGAUGAAACCAUUGGCCAAUGGUGAUGGAACUCAAUUUCCAGCCCCUCUCCCCGGCACCGAGGUCAGGGGGUGGGAUUAAAAGUUCUAACCCUCGCCCGCUGGCUUGGUUCCCCUGGCAACCAGCCCCACCAAAGGAGUUUCCCUCGAUUUCCUGUUCGUUAACAUAACAAAAGAGAGCCUUCCCUCUCUGCACUUAGGAAAUUCCUAGGGUUGGGGAGCUCCAGGCCGGGAAGGGGCGAAGAACAAAUACCUGUUUCUUACUACACAGCACUACAUCGCACCACGUGUGGGGGAAACCCUGGGUUUGUGGUGGUGCCCUCUGGGAAAGUUUUAUUUAAUCCUUUUAACCCUACUGUUGUUUCUACUGAGCUCUCUGGUCUCCAGGUGCAUAAACGGAGGCACAGGGAGGUCAGGUUAACUCACCCAAGGUCACACAGCUAGUAAAGAUCAGAGCGUGUUUUUGAACCCGGGUCUUGCUGACUCCAAAACCCCUGCUUUUUGCACCCCUUCGGUUUUUUUUUUUUUUCCCCUGGAGCAAGCUGCUUCUUGAACUGGGAGAUUCGUCAGUACCUGGUGGUGCUGGCGGUACCUCUGCUGACACCUGGAAGCUAGCACCUGCUGUCUGGGAAGGUGCUUUCCCUACGGAAUUCACUGUGGGGUGGGCAUCCACUGGCCAAGAGGCUGCUAACUGAAUUCAGGAAUGAAUGCAUGGAUAAAUGAAUACUGCUAGUUUAGGCAUACAGAAAGAACUGAGGCUCGAAGACAUUAACACUGUUUCUUGACAAGUGAAAAUUUGGGAGCCAAGGUUCAAACCAGAGAUUUCUGGCACAAAGUCACAAUGAUAUUCCAGAGCUUUAUCUUAAGCCAUUUUUGUCUAUUUCAUUUCACUUAUUCUUUUAUUUAUCUAAUAUUUUAGUUUCUAUUACGUACCAAGUAUUUUGCCAAGUGGAUGUAAAAUGAUAGAAUCAUAACAAAAUAGAGGUGGUCUCCAAAGUCAUGGAGAUCACAGUAAAAUAAACGACCCUUACAGUAAAUAAGCAAAUAGGAGUACAACAUUCAUAUAACACACUGUAAUUUAAGAAUAUUCUGAUAGUUUAUCCAUUAUGUCAUCACAUAAGAUGGUUUGAAAGAAUUUCAUGCAAUUUAGAUAAUGUGGGUUUUUGUUUUUUAGAGAGAGAGAAUAUCUCAAGCAGUCUCUGCACUGGGAGUCUGAUGAGGGUCUCAAUCCCAUGACCUUGACACCAUGACCUGAGCGGAAAUCAAGAAUCGGAUCCUCAACUGAUUAAGCCACCCAGGAGCAUCAGUCAUCUGGUUCUUCAAAGCCGAUGACUACAGCAAGGACCCAAGAGAAAGACACACUGUGUGGUGUGACUCUUCACAAAAACAGCAGCCACUCCAGUUUUGCUUUCAGAAGCUUCCUCAAGGCUGAAGGGAGCACCAGCCUCCUUGAGAAAGGAUGCCUCACCUGCUCUGUGGGAUGAGGGGCAGCUCCUGGAGGAUGCCCCUUGAGGCUCUGCUGUGUUGUCUUGUAGGCUCUGCGCCUGCCUUCAGCCCACCUGAGCAAGGGGCUCUCGGGCUUCACUUUGACAGGCCUGCUGAUGUUGUUAUGGUGGCCAUCUUUGACCUUACACUCAUCAAAAACUAUUCCCUCAUUCACUUUACCUGGAGACCACCUUGCAGAACUCUGCUAAGUGAAUCGGGAAGAGGGGCACAGGAGAAGGGGACGAGAUGACAGGGGGCUAGGCAUGCCUGCACCAACAUUUCCCAUGCCCUCUUACAAAACAUGACUCCUGGUCAACUUCCAUGAUUGUCUGCUACGUCUUACUCAUGACUCUGCCUCCUACCUAAAUUUGGAAAAUGCAAAUUUGAUGACAUCCGUAUAGACGGUACUAAUUAAGGAUCACUUUUCCAAAAUAAUUGCAAGAGUGUGCUUCCCACACAUUAAAAUGUGCAUCCAGGCUGCAGCAACUUCUUACUCAACACGUCUUCGGAGGCAAGGGAAACAAAAGCAAAAAUGAACUACUGGGACCUCGUUAAAAUAAAAAGCUUCUGCACACCAAAGGAAACAAUCAACAAAA